rnacentral:rRNA from 1 species
UACGAAGGGGGCUAGCGUUGUUCGGAAUCACUGGGCGUAAAGGGCGCGUAGGCGGCCGAUCAAGUCGGGGGUGAAAGCCUGUGGCUUAACCACAGAAUGGCCUUCGAUACUGUUUGGCUUGAGACCGGAAGAGGUUAGUGGAACUGCGAGUGUAGAGGUGAAAUUCGUAGAUAUUCGCAAGAACACCAGUGGCGAAGGCGGCUCACUGGUCCGGUACUGACGCUGAGGUGCGAAAGCGUGGGGAUCAAACAGG